AAUUAAUUUACACAAUCAAUUUCUUCUUAUUUAUUGAUGUAAAUAAUUUUAAUUAAACAGUAUAAUCAUAGUUCUUGCAAGAUAUAUUGAAUAUGCUUUUUUAUCUCUGAGAAAACAAUAAGAGCAAAUGACUAUAAAAUGAAAUGUUGCUGAUUAAAUUGUAGGCUUACAGUUAACACUUCAUAGUUUUAAAUACUUUACUACCACAUGCAGAAACAAUGACCCCAGUAGCAUGUUGCAUUCAUAGGAAGAUGGCACCAAUCAUUUUUAGAACAAUCAGAAUUCGAAUUACAGGAAUCCAAAAAAGCUGUUAUGCAAAACAAGAAUAAAUAAAAAGGUAAAAAAUAAAUUAUUUAAUUCAAAUUUGUAAGAUAAAAGUUCUUACCCCCUCUAACUUCAGUUGCAAUAGCAAAUAGAACAAGUAAGAGGAAGAUAGCAUAUACAAACUUGAAAAUCUUAGUCAUUUAUUUUUAGAUGUAAGUAUUACUAACAUGUAAUUA
rnacentral:lncRNA from 1 species